AGCAGCCGCGGUAAUUCCAGCUCCAAUAGCGUAUAUUAAAGUUGUUGCAGUUAAAAAGCUCGUAGUUGAAUUUCGGGAUUAGUACGUUGGUCGUGCCUUAGGUACGUACUGGUGUUACUGGUUCCUACCUUCUGACGAACCAUCAUGUCAUUAAUUUGGUGUGGCGGGGAAUCAGGACUGUUACUUUGAAAAAAUUAGAGUGUUUAAAGCAGGCUCGCGCUUGAAUACAUUAGCAUGGAAUAAUGAAAUAGGACGUUGACCCUAUUUUGUUGGUUUCUAGGAUUGACGUAAUGAUUAAUAGGGAUAGUUGGGGGCAUUAGUAUUCAAUUGUCAGAGGUGAAAUUCUUGGAUUUAUUGAAGACUAACUACUGCGAAAGCAUUUGCCAAGGAUGUUUUCAUUAAUCAAGAACGAAAGUUAGGGGAUCGAAGACGAUCAGAUACCGUCGUAGUCUUAACCAUAAACUAUGCCGACUAGGGAUCGGAUGAUGUAAUUUUUAAUGACUCA
rnacentral:rRNA from 1 species